AGUAGCGACUCCUACGGGAGGCAGCAGUGGGGAAUAUUGCACAAUGGCGCGAAGCCUGAUGCAGCCAUGCCGCGUGUGUGAAGAAGGCCUUCGGGUUGUAAAGCACUUUCGUGUGAGGAAGGUGGUGUCGUUAAUAGCGGCAUCAUUUGACGUUAGCAACAGAAGAAGCACCGGCUAACUCCGUGCCAGCAGCCGCGGUAAUACGGAGGGUGCGAGCGUUAAUCGGAAUUACUGGGCGUAAAGCGCAUGCAGGUGGUUUGUUAAGUCAGAUGUGAAAGCCCGGGGCUCAACCUCGGAAUAGCAUUUGAAACUGUAAGCUAGAGUACUGUAGAGGGGGGUAGAAUUUCAGGUGUAGCGGUGAAAUGCGUAGAGAUCUGAAGGAAUACCGGUGGCGAAGGCGGCCCCCUGGACAGAUACUGACACUCAGAUGCGAAAGCGUGGGGAGCAAACAGGAUUAGAUACCCUGGUAG
rnacentral:rRNA from 1 species